AGCAAAAAUUGUCAUGUUCCCAGCCAAAUCAAUUCCAGAUCCAUGAGUCAGUCAAAAACCAUAAGUGGCCCUACCACCAGCAAACAUCCUCCAACCCCACUUGGGGCUUCAGAUGUUUCUAAAUCAUUUGGCAG